rnacentral:rRNA from 1 species
GCGGGGAAUAUUGCGCAAUGGGCGAAAGCCUGACGCAGCGACGCCGCGUGCGGGACGAAGGCCUUCGGGUUGUAAACCGCUUUCAGCAGGGACGAAGCGAAAGUGACGGUACCUGCAGAAGAAGGUCCGGCCAACUACGUGCCAGCAGCCGCGGUAAUACGUAGGGACCGAGCGUUGUCCGGAUUCAUUGGGCGUAAAGAGCUCGUAGGCGGCUGUUCAAGUCGAACGUGAAAACUCGGAGCUCAACUCCGAGCCUGCGUUCGAGACUGGAUGGCUAGAGUCUGGUAGGGGGAUCUGGAAUUCCUGGUGUAGCGGUGGAAUGCGCAGAUAUCAGGAGGAACACCGGUGGCGAAGGCGGGAUCCUGGGCCAGUACUGACGCUGAGGAGCGAAAGCGUGGGGAGCAAACAGGAUUAGAAACCCUAGUAGUCC